rnacentral:rRNA from 1 species
AGGGCUGCACUGUCUCCUUUUUCCAAUCAAUGAAACUAAUCUCCCCGUGAAGAAGCGGGGAUAACCCUAUAAGACGAGAAGACCCUAUGGAGCUUUAAACAACUGAAACAUUUGCUUCUCCCCUGACCUCUCCUGAGUUUUUUACUUUACUUAAGCAUUUUUAUUUCUAGUUUUAGGUUGGGGUGACCGCGGAGCAAAACUGAACCUCCAUGAAGAAUGAAUAUUUUUUAAGCCACAAACUACUUUUUUAAGCAUCAACAAAUUGACCUUCAUUGACCCAAUAUAUUGAUCAACGAACCAAGUUACCCUAGGGAUAACAGCGCAAUCUACUUCAAGAGCUCAUAUCGACAAGUAGGUUUACGACCUCGAUGUUGGAUCAGGGUAUCCUAGUGGU